rnacentral:tRNA from 1 species
GGCCACUUAGCCAAGCAGUAAGGCGAGGGUCUGCAAAACCCUUAUGCAUGGGUGCAACUCCCAUAGUGGCCU